rnacentral:rRNA from 1 species
GACGAACGCUGGCGGCGUGCUUAACACAUGCAAGUCGAACGGAAAGGCCCUGCUUUUGGGGGGUGCUCGAGUGGCGAACGGGUGAGUAACACGUGAGUAACCUGCCCUUGACUUUGGGAUAACUUCAGGAAACUGGGGCUAAUACCGGAUAGGAGCUCCUGCUUCAUGGUGGGGGUUGGAAAGUUUCGGCGGUUGGGGAUGGACUCGCGGCUUAUCAGCUUGUUGGUGGGGUAGUGGCUUACCAAGGCUUUGACGGGUAGCCGGCCUGAGAGGGUGACCGGCCACAUUGGGACUGAGAUACGGCCCAGACUCCUAUGGGAGGCAGGAGUGGGGAAUAUUGCACAAUGGGCGGAAGGCUGAUGCAGCAAAGCAGCGUGCGGGAUGACGGCAUUCGGGUUGUAAACCGCUUUCGCCUGUGACGAAGCGUGAGUGACGGUAAUGGGUAAAGAAGCACCGGCUAACUACGUG